rnacentral:rRNA from 1 species
CAGUAGCCGCGGUAAUACAGAGGGUGCGAGCGUUAAUCGGAUUUACUGGGCGUAAAGCGUGCGUAGGCGGCUUUUUAAGUCGGAUGUGAAAUCCCUGAGCUUAACUUAGGAAUUGCAUUCGAUACUGGGAAGCUAGAGUAUGGGAGAGGAUGGUAGAAUUCCAGGUGUGGCGGUGAAAUGCGUAGAGAUCUGGAGGAAUACCGUUGGCGAAGGCAGCCAUCUGGCCUAAUACUGACGCUGAGGUACGAAAGCAUGGGGAGCAAACAGGAUUAGAUACCCCUGUAGUCCCUGUCUCUUAUAC